rnacentral:rRNA from 1 species
GACGAACGCUGGCGGCGUGCUUAACACAUGCAAGUCGAACGGAAAGGCCCUGCUUUUGUGGGGUGCUCGAGUGGCGAACGGGUGAGUAACACGUGAGUAACCUGCCCUUGACUUUGGGAUAACUUCAGGAAACUGGGGCUAAUACCGGAUAGGAGCUCCUGCUGCAUGGUGGGGGUUGGAAAGUUUCGGCGGUUGGGGAUGGACUCGCGGCUUAUCAGCUUGUUGGUGGGGUAGUGGCUUACCAAGGCUUUGACGGGUAGCCGGCCUGAGAGGGUGACCGGCAACAUUGGGACUGAGAUACGGCCCAGACUCCUACGGGAGGCAGCAGUGGGGAAUAUUGCACAAUGGGCGGAAGCCUGAUGCAGCAACGCCGCGUGCGGGAUGACGGCCUUCGGGUUGUAAACCGCUUUCGCCUGUGACGAAGCGUGAGUGACGGUAAUGGGUAAAGAAGCACCGGCUAACUACG